rnacentral:rRNA from 1 species
UACAGAGGUCUCAAGCGUUGUUCGGAUUCAUUGGGCGUAAAGGGUGCGUAGGCGGCGCGGUAAGUCGGAUGUGAAAUCUCGGAGCUUAACUUCGAAACUGCAUUCGAUACUGCCGUGCUUGAGGACUGGAGAGGAGACUGGAAUUUACGGUGUAGCGGUGGAAUGCGCAGAUAUCAGGAGGAACACCGGUGGCGAAGGCGGGUCUCUGGGCAGUAACUGACGCUGAGGAGCGAAAGCGUGGGGAGCGAACAGG